AUCUUUGCGCAGAGGCAAUGUCGUACCCAAUGAAGGCAAAAUUGAGGGGCGGCUAUUGCUUGUUGAAAACUUUUCCCAAUACCCUGCCGGGACGACGUGAAAUACCGUCGACCAUGGCAAAUUUUGGUGAGCCCCUUGGGGC
rnacentral:snRNA from 1 species